rnacentral:lncRNA from 1 species
UGGUGUAUGAGUUUUUAUUCUUUAUUAUUGGUUUAUAAAAUCGCUAAGCAAGAAGAUGUUGAAGCAAUAACUAAUGUUGUUGCUCACAAUAUUCUCAUGCAUUAAGUUGAGGUCAUCGUGCCUCAAUUAGAUUUAAGUAGAGUUUAAGAAUGGGUUUAAACUUUUUGAAGAAAACUAGCCGAGUGUGGUUAGGGUUGUCGAAAAUAAAC